UCCCAUCAGAACUCCGCAGUUAAGCGCGCUUGGGCUAGAGUAGUACUGGGAUGGGUGACCUCUCGGGAAGUCCUGGUGUUGCACCCUC
rnacentral:rRNA from 1 species